UUUGCUGAGGAUACGGUUAACGGAGCGAAAGCGACGUUCAACCUCAAAAGAAGCAGAGGGGGCUUAGUGGUGGGGUGACUGCGUACCUUUUGUAUAAUGGGUCAGCGACUUAUAUUCUGUAGCAAGGUUAACCGUAUAGGGGAGCCGCAGGGAAACCGAGUCUUAACCGGGCGUUAAGUUGCAGGGUAUAGACCCGAAACCCGGUGAUCUAGCCAUGGGCAGGUUGAAGGUUGGGUAACACUAACUGGAGGACCGAACCGACUAAUGUUGAAAAAUUAGCGGAUGACCUGUGGCUGGGGGUGAAAGGCCAAUCAAACCGGGAGAUAGCUGGUUCUCCCCGAAAGCUAUUUAGGUAGCGCCUCGUGAAUUCAUCUCCGGGGGUAGAGCACUGUUUCGGCUAGGGGGCCAUCCCGGCUUACCAACCCGAUGCAAACUGCGAAUACCGGAGAAUGUUAUCACGGGAGACACACGGCGGGUGCUAACGUCCGUCGUGAAGAGGGAAACAACCCAGACCGCCAGCUAAGGUCCCAAAGUCAUGGUUAAGUGGGAAACGAUGUGGGAAGGCCCAGACAGCCAGGAUGUUGGCUUAGAAGCAGCCAUCAUUUAAAGAAAGCGUAAUAGCUCACUGGUCGAGUCGGCCUGCGCGGAAGAUGUAACGGGGCUAAACCAUGCACCGAAGCUGCGGCAGCGACGCUGAUGCGUUGUUGGGUAGGGGAGCGU
rnacentral:rRNA from 1 species